CACUAUACUGUCCGUAUCAUUUUGAGAAAUCCUAAGAACAGCUCUUUCACCAGCAUAGGCACUGCAAAGUCCAGUGUCGAUUAGCAGUAUACGACCUUCACAUCGACUUACAAUACCAUGGAAUUGAGGAGUAUGUCCCAUAACUAAACGGUUUACAUUUAAGGUUUUGGUUACAUUGAGAGCGACCUCGCAAGCUUCUUCUUCUGAAAGCUGAGCCAAACCACGAUACCACAUUGGACCUUCAAUCGCCCAAAAAUCUUCCAAGUAUUCAGGUAUUUUUUCUCUAGACAUGAAGUGGCUCAAUAAUUCCUUUCCUAAUUCAUUUACGGUCUCCUCUCGGUAUGCCCACUCUGGUGAUAGACCUGCAUGCAUAAAAUGUGAUCCAGUGGUAUUAUCUUUAUAAGUGACAUUGUAUUCAGAGAGCAAAAGGUUACCAAUUUCACCGGAAUGCCCCCAGUCAAUUAUCCUGUUCUCUUCUGAAGGCUCGGGAUAAGAUGCUUUAUCCCCAGGAUGAACAUAACGCCAAUCACCUUUAGCGUUCAUGAAUUCAUGGUUACCCAAAAGGCGAACCACUCGUCCUCCAUGCUUUUCUGCCUGCUUGUGCAAGUCAUUAAACCAUCUAAAAAGUUUCCGUGUAUCUGGGCCGCGAUCGACGACAUCUCCGGUUUGAACCAGUGUAGCAUUACCAGCAGUCCAUUCAUGAGGAAAAACAGGAGAUACAACGCCUGCUGCAGAUAGUACAUCUAAAGCAUUUGGAAAGUCUCCAUGAAUAUCCCCAAUAGCAUAUACUACGGUCGGAUAUUUAAUUUUUGCUUCAACGUUUCCUUUGAAAUUGGGAAAAACUUUAAUGAAUUCAUGAUCAAAUAAUUGAUUUACAUUAAAAUAACCGAAUACGAAUUUACAAGAAAAAGAGAGUAAUAUCCCCAAAAGGGUAAGUUUCAGAAGUUUUCCAAGAGAACUCAUGAAUGCUAAGGAUGAGUUACUUUACCUUACUUUUACAUGUAAAAGGUUAAUCUAAAAAUCCAAGAUCUGUCAAGAUUAAUAUAUUUUCGACAUUUAUAGCAAGAAAUCUCUUAAUAUGUUUAAAUAUAUAUCUCAUUUUAGUAUAUAUACAGAAAAGUAGUAGUUUCUAACUAUUUAGUGCCAUAGGGAAAGGCUGACAAAUUUUUUUAACAGGCAAAUUAGAAGCAAUAGUUUCUAAUUAACAUGUUUGAGCUUGAAAAAUAAAGAGUCACAGACAACGCAAAGGACAUUUGAAAGAAUUCUAAGCAACAUGAGCACAUGAAAAUUUAAAAAGAAGAUUUUGUGAAUUUCCAGCAAGUAUUAAUGAUUAUUAAUUAAGAAAUUCGCAAUAACAAAGAAAGGAAUAAUAAGAGAUCAAAAAUGCAUCUCUAAAUAAAAUAGAUAGUUGUUAAAAUUUGACGUUUAGAGAAGCUUGUAGGAAUAGUAAUGAACUAGUAAAUCCUAUAACAAAGAAUCAAUACCUUUAAUCUUGCUUUAACAAAGAGCUAUAAAUGAAUUUUCUCGUUAACGUUUUUAACUGAUGAACAGAUUCGAAAGAAUAAUGAAGAAUAA